CCUACGGGAGGCAGCAGUGGGGAAUAUUGGACAAUGGGGGGAACCCUGAUCCAGCGACGCCGCGUGAGUGAAGAAGUAUUUCGGUAUGUAAAGCUCUAUCAGCAGGGAAGAAAGAAAUGACGGUACCUGACUAAGAAGCCCCGGCUAACUACGUGCCAGCAGCCGCGGUAAUACGUAGGGGGCAAGCGUUAUCCGGAUUUACGGGGUGUAAAGGGGGCGUAGACGGCGAGGCAAGUCUGAAGGGAAAGGCGGGGGCCCAACCCCCGGACUGCUUGGGAAACUGUAUGGCUGGAGUGCAGGAGAGGUAAGUGGAAUUCCUAGUGUAGCGGUGAAAUGCGUAGAUAUUAGGAGGAACACCAGUGGCGAAGGCGGCUUACUGGACUGUAACUGACGUUGAGGCUCGAAAGCGUGGGGAGCAAACAGGAUUAGAUACCCGAGUAGUC
rnacentral:rRNA from 1 species